rnacentral:lncRNA from 1 species
GUAAGUAGUAGUAACACACUCUAAAUUAUUUCCUUGCACAAUGACACAAUGUGAUUGCAAGCAGCCAUUACAACUCAAAUUGAACUGUACCAUGACUAGAGAAAAUAUUUAAGCUUCAGUUUUAGGGCGUCCAUUUCAACUCAAUUGAGUAAGCAAUUCAACUGAAUUGUCUGCAUGAUUUAUGCUGUUCAGGUUCUUGAACAAGGGGCUGUCUGAUUUCAACUUGGCACUGGACCUCGGGUUCUUGACCAAGGCUAGGAAGUACACCUUCUUCAAGCCCAAGUUCAUCUUCUACGCGACCUACCUGUCGGAGAAGAUUGGGUACUGGAGGUACAUCACCAUCUUCAGGCACCUCAAGGCGAACCCGGAGUACCAGGUGUACCCCAUCUUCAAGUACUUUGAGAACUGGUGCCAGGAUGAGAACCGUCACGGUGAUUUC